UUUUUUUUUUUUCCCACCUUCGAGCCCCUCAAGAAGUAUUCGUGAGGGAGCUCGCUUACAUUCCUGCUUCAGUCUAUACCAACGAAUCUUAAACCCUCGGGCCUAUUCCUUCUCCUUCUCCGUCUCCAUUAUGUGGUUAGAACUCUGAGGGAGUUGGAGACAAGGCGAGAACAACAGAGAUUAUUUGCAGGAAUACCUCCCCUACUGCCUGGCGCUAAGUGGGCUCUACCUAGUGUUGUUAUGAACUGAGAGGUUGCAUCAGGGACAACGUGAGGGCUGCCGGGAAUAAAGAAGAGCUUCUAAGGUCUUCAGAGUGGACUGCAAUAACCAUGGAGAUGAGGUAAUUCAUGAAGCUAAAAGCAAGAGAAGGGGUGGGUUACGGACAAGCUGUGGUUAAGAAAUUUUGUUCUGCUCUCAUUUUUAUUCUUUCCAGUAGUUUCAUUAACUUCUCAGUCCCAACAGUGGUUGAAACUCUAAGGAUAUAACUCUCCUCAUUAAACAGAUGUAUGGAUUUCUAUAAAAGUACCCCAAGCCCACAAAAUAGAUGCCUAAUUCAUCUUAUCGAUGUCUGCAAACCCACCAUUAAAUACUAUUUUCAUUUAAAGCCUUCUGGCUCAUUAGAACAAAAAUGUUCCUAAAGAAACAUAUCAGGUAGCAUCCGUAAUUUCACAUUAGUAUAAAUUUGUAACUUGACCAAAUAGCUAAUAAUAGAUAAUGAUUCACUGACGGUUUAUUUUGUGCCUGGGGUUGUAUGACGUGUUUCAUGUGCAGUAUCUCACUGAAUCACUAACGAAAUCCUUUGGGUGGCAGUCACAGAGGUGGCUCUGUGAAAUCUAUGCUAAGUGAUUGUCUUGACCAUUUGCAAGAUCAUUCCUCUUGUCAGUGCUGAUCUAGGCAUGGGCAUGUGACCAAAUCCUAGCCAGUAAGAUGUGAAAGGAAAUCUGGAGAGGGGCUUUCAGGAAAGAUUUUCUUACUCCUAAAAAAGGAUACACACAGUAUGAGAUUCUCUAGUUCAUCCAUGUUGCUGCAAAUGGCAUUAUGUCAUUAUUUCUUAUGGCUGAAUAGUAUUCCAUUGUGUAUAUAUACCACAUCUUCUGAAUCCAAUCAUCUGUCGAUGGACAUUUGGGUUGUUUCCAUGUCCUGGCUAUUGUGAAUAGUGCUGCAAUGAACAUGCGGGUGCACGUGUCUCUUUUAAGUAGAGUUUUGUCCGGAUAGAUGCCCAAGAGUGGGAUUGCGGGGUCAUACGGAAGUUCUGAGCCAGAAAGACAAAGACAAAUACCAUAUGAUAUCACUUAUAACUGGAAUCUAAUAUCCAGCACAAACGCACACCUCCUCAGAAAAGAAAAACAUGGACUUGGAGAAGAGACUUGUGGCUGCCUGAUGGGAGGGGGAGGGAGUGGGAGGGAUCGGGAGCUUGGGCUUAUCAGACACAACUUGGAAUAGAUUUACAAGGAGAUCCUGCUGAAUAGCAUUGAGAACUUUGUCUAGAUACUCAUGUUGCAACAGAAGAAAGGGUGGGGGAAAAAUGUAAUUGUAAUGUAUACGUGUAAGGAUAACCUGACCCCCUUGCUGUACAGUGGGAAAAUUAAAAAAAAAUUAUAAAAAAAAUAAAUAAAUAAAAGAAAAAAAAAGGAUACACAAGAACGAGACAUUCUUUCCCAUUGUUGGGUAUGACAUCUGGGGUGAAUGCAACCACACUGCCACCAUGAAGUGACCAAGGGGAGAAGCAGAAAGCAGUUGAGCCCUGAAGGGUACUCUUGAGCCACUGGUCCCACUUCGCCUGAACUAAACUAUCUUCUGACUUCCACUUAAGUGAGACGGAUUUCGUGACUAGGCAUGUCGGUGUGACACGGGGUUUCCUGUUACUUUCGGCAGAGGUCAUUCCAACUGAAACACAAGGAGCUUAAUGUCACUGUCGUCCCCCUUCCACUGGUGAAGAAAGUCAUAAAGGUAAAAUAAGUUUCUGUAUCUCCCAUGAUAGGAGGCUAUGGAACUGAUUUGAACUAAACAAGCAGACUUCUAAAUUCAUACACAAACCACUAUGCCAUGCUUACAACAAUGUUAAAAAAGCAACCAUGCUUAUAACAAUGUUAAAAAAGCAAUAAUGUUAAGGGACACAGCAGCCUGAGAUUGAUCCCACAGGUAAAUGAGAGCAGUGUCAGGAGACAAGAGGGCUCUCUGAGCUCCUGAGGCUCUCCAGUGAUUCACAUGGGUGGUGCUCCCUGGAGAGCUCUGCCGAAGUGCUCCAACCAUCCGACUCAGCAGUCAGUCAUUGAACGCACUGGGCACUGUUUCCCGAGGCUUACUCUCUGCUUCGUAGCAGAGCAGAGAGCCAGUAGAGAACUGACUAUUAAAGAGGCAUUAUAAGAUAAAGGCUAUAAAGCUACUUUCCUUCAGGAACACAGCAAAGAGUAAAUAAUUCAACAGAGGAUGAAUCUCUUUAUCCCCUUGCCCCUUCCAGGGUGGUCAAGAACCUCUCUGUGCCACCUCCUUCUAUGUCAAUUAAUUCGGAUCUUUUAUUUCUUCUCCACAAUCCUUGUUCAAGCCAGUCAUCUCCAAGGAUGCGGAAUCCCGGCAUCUUAUCAAGGCUCCAGGAGAAGGAAUGGAGUGUAUCUCCUUCAAUCAACUGACGGGCUUGCCUAAUAUUCUCGGCUGUGAAACUGUAAGCAGACUGGAGCCGAAAGCACUAUCUUUACCAUAUAUAUUAAGCAAUCAUUUUAGCAAAAUCAAAAUGUUAAUCCUGGUAUUCAAGGUCGUCUUCUAUGUACAUGCAAAUAUCUUUCAAGGUCAUGACCUUGAUAUUAAGUGUUUAUCUAAAAAUGCCACAGAUCUGUCACUAAUUGUUUACUCAUGCGCAAAGCAGCCAAGCUGCCCACAGCUGCCAACUAGAGACCUGGCAGGAAGUGAAAUUAUCGGCACGUAGGAAAGACCCAACCAUAACAUCAGAAUUACAUAAAAUAGGGAAUUAUCUUAUUUUGGGAGAGCAAUGUCAGAACGUGGCUAACCAAUAAAAAUCUCUCUCACCCCAUUUAUGAUUAUUUUCUGUUAAUUCCCAGCAGACUAGAAAUACUCAUUUCCAAAACUACCCAAUUGGACAUAAAAGGAGAAAACAGCGUUUUUGAGAUGUCUGUUCCCCCUGAAAAAAGGUUUAAGUCAAACUGCUUUUAAAAAUGCUCCUCACUCUCCAUUUAGAAGCAUUGUUGCCUAAAGAUGAUGAUCUGGCCACAUUUUCGCCCUCAAAGCUAAGUCUACAGGCAACUUUUCUCAUAAACAGUCCCUAAGAAGCACUUCUUCCCACGUUAUAUGUCAAGGAACUUUUAAAAGAACUGUUCCAAGUGCGAACAUUUAGAAACACACAUGCCCAUGUCACAGGAAAGCCAUCAACACUCUUGCAGAGCUAUAGGCCUGCCCUCAAGGGACCCAGAACUAUUCCAUUAUAACAGAAAGUCUGUGGAAUGUAAAUCCAGGGCCCUGAAAUGCUGUAUAUUUUUCAAGAAGUACAAAGUGGAAGCCAUUGAUUCCAUGGACUCACCAAAUGAAUGGAUUGUUUCAUCUGCAUAAAUGAACUGUCAGAAACAAUGGCCACGUAACACAUUUGCUCCUGUUCCCCAAAGAGGAAAAACCCAUAUCCCCAAUAAAGCCAUAUCUUUUUAUGAAACUUAAGCAAAGAAGCAUGGGGAAAAGAAAGCUUGAUUUAUACUCUAAAAUCUAGAUGGCUGAAGUCAGACAUGCAGCAUGGGCCAGAAAUAUGCAGCUCAAUUCUUUCUGAAGACACAGAAGGCACUUUGCCUUCAAAACACAAAAGAGUGACUCUCUAUUCUACAUUCAUGGCUAUUUGACCAAAUGCACAAAAGCACUUCUCAUAUUAUGUAUAGUUUUACUUUCUAAUCACUCUUUUUCUUAAGUACUUUUCUCCAAAGUUUUUAUUCUUAACACUUUCACCCUCCACUUUUCUACAUGCCCUUGUUUUCAGAUGUGGUGUUUCAUUAUAAAAUAUUCAGAACCCUGAAAAGGUUACGAUGAAUAAUGUAAGAAAAGCCAUUUUGUCUCCACUUACCAUUACUAUCCAAUCUUAGAUUUGUGUAAGGUGUUCCAAAUUUAUCUUAAGCAAUUAUUCUUAAGUUGUCGUUUCUUAUCUACUGAUCUCCAGAAUUACCCCUCUCCCCUUUUGCUUAUGAUCUCUUCUUCCUGAAGUCACUAUUGUCUAAACUUUGGUAUUUAUUAUUAUUCUCCUUCAUAGACAUUGAUCUUCUUUACACAGGACUUUAAAACAGUAUGACACAGUACAAAACCUUAUGUAAUUUGUUUUAUUGUCUGGCUGUUUAUGCAAAACAUUCUUUUGCACAUCAAUACAUAUAUAUACAUAGAGACCCUGAAGCUAUUCAUUAUAAUGACUUAUAGUACCCACUGUAUAAAUACAGGAAAGUCUAAUCUAUUUUUGACGAACACUUUCUCUCCCUUCCCAUCACUGUUUUUCUUUCUUGUGCUCUGUGAUCACUUAAGACUCCCAUGGACUGGUUCCAGUGCCUUCUCCUUGAAGAGAUGUCUCUGUCAUCUUGGGCAGCACCAGAAGGCCAUGUGCACCUGUCGGCUCUGGCUAAUUACCUAUGUUUUGAUUUCCUUUCGGUUUCUUCACAUACUGUGUGUUACACAUGAGUAUUCUGCUAUUAUCUUUCUGCACUGCUCAUUUAAGCCCAGAGCUUUAAGACUAGCAAAAUCUUAAAAGCUACAGAGCCCAAUCUUCCUUUUAUAAACUAUGACAGUGCCAGGAGGAGGUGAGUGAUGUGCCCACAGUCAUGCAACGUCUUAGUGAAGAGAAGGGUUGAGGACCUGGAUCUUCUGGCUCCCGGUCCCUGUUCUUUUCACUACACCAAACUGCUGCUCACCCACUCAGCCAAACAAGAUUUCUCUGCUAUGAGUGGGUUCUCAACAAAUCUGUUAACAUCUUACAUCAGAGAAAACUAGGCAAUAUGGAAACAUCCCAAAAGGGUUCAUGUCCUCAGGGACAUUAAAGACAAAAGAAAACAUUAUAGGCAACUAUAUGACCCCAGAUAGGAUAAAAUUCCCAAUAGCAAAAGCAACAACUUCUCUAUCGGUACAUCUAUAUAAUUUUUAUGAACAUUUCAAAGUAUGUUGGAGACGGAGACAUCACAGCACUUUAUUAUUGUACGUUAUGUCACUGGGUUUUUCUGUAGAACAGGGUUAUUCUCUUCCAUGGCUACAAAACUACUAAAAUCCAUGAUAUUUUACAUUGAUAUAAUACUAACAGUCCAUAUUAAAAUUUUAUCAAUGUUCCCGAAAGUGUUCUUUGUAGCUUUUCUCCUACCCCAGUACCCAUCCACCUUAGGAUCACACAUAAAACUGUGUAACUUAUAAGGAAAACACUUUGCUCUGC
rnacentral:lncRNA from 1 species